rnacentral:rRNA from 1 species
GGCUCACCUAGGCGACGAUCCGUAACUGGUCUGAGAGGAUGAUCAGUCACACUGGAACUGAGACACGGUCCAGACUCCUACGGGAGGCAGCAGUGGGGAAUAUUGGACAAUGGGCGAAAGCCUGAUCCAGCCAUGCCGCGUGUGUGAAGAAGGUCUUCGGAUUGUAAAGCACUUUAAGUUGGGAGGAAGGGUUGUACGCUAAUACCGUGCAAUUUUGACGUUACCGACAGAAUAAGCACCGGCUAACUCUGUGCCAGCAGCCGCGGUAAUACAGAGGGUGCAAGCGUUAAUCGGAAUUACUGGGCGUAAAGCGCGCGUAGGUGGUUCGUUAAGUUGGAUGUGAAAGCCCCGGGCUCAACCUGGGAACUGCAUCCAAAACUGGCGAGCUAGAGUAUGGUAGAGGGUGGUGGAAUUUCCUGUGUAGCGGUGAAAUGCGUAGAUAUAGGAAGGAACACCAGUGGCGAAGGCGACCACCUGGACUGAUACUGACACUGAGGUGCGAAAGCGUGGGGAGCAAACAGG